UUUGUACUCUCUCUGUCUUGAAUUACUUGUCACAGAAAUAGAUAAAAAUGGAUGUAUCUAGAACAAAAAUACGUUUAGAUACAUCCAUUUUUGCGAAAGUAAUUCCGGACGGAGGAAGUAUGUA
rfam:Triticum aestivum genome assembly, contig: Triticum_aestivum_CS42_TGACv1_scaffold_146300_2BS